AUACUUACCUGGCAAGGGAGACACUGUGAUCAAGAAGGCGGUUCACCCAGGGCGAGGCUCAGCCGUUGCACUCCGGCUGUGCUGACCCCUGCGAAUUUCCCAAAUGUGGAAAUCUCGAUUGCAUAAUUUCUGGUAGUGGGGGCUGCGUUCGCGCUCUCCCCUG
rnacentral:snRNA from 8 species